GGCAGAGAGAGCUCGGCUCCCGUGGGCAGUGACCCAACGAGGAAAGUCCCCCCACCGUCCGGACAGGUGACCGAGUGCAAGCUCGGAGUCGGAGACGACUGGCUCUGAAACAGAAACGAGACCCCGCGACCCGACCGAUGAAUCGUGCGAAUUGACCCGCAAGGGAAGAGAGUUAACCCGACGAGGUGACGGUCGCGAACGGAUGGAACGGUGAAUCCUCACUGGUGCAAGUCCUCGCUACAAGGUAGUCUGGACAGAGCGCGGACGCUUAGCCGAAUGCCGAGAUGAACAGAAGGGGGCUUACUCCUCUCAGCC
rnacentral:RNase_P_RNA from 2 species